rnacentral:rRNA from 1 species
GAGCUUUGUAAUAGCGUAGGAGUGCCUGCGGAGGAUCAUUA